GACGAACGCUGGCGGCGUGCCUAAUACAUGCAAGUAGAACGCUGAAGGAGGAGCUUGCUCUUCUGGAUGAGUUGCGAACGGGUGAGUAACGCGUAGGUAACCUGCCUGGUAGCGGGGGAUAACUAUUGGAAACGAUAGCUAAUACCGCAUAACAGUAGAUGUUGCAUGACAUUUACUUAAAAGGUGCAAUUGCAUCACUACCAGAUGGACCUGCGUUGUAUUAGCUAGUUGGUGGGGUAACGGCUCACCAAGGCGACGAUACAUAGCCGACCUGAGAGGGUGGUCGGCCACACUGGGACUGGGACACGGCCCAGACUCCUACGGGAGGCAGCAGUAGGGAAUCUUCGGCAAUGGACGGAAGUCUGACCGAGCAACGCCGCGUGAGUGAAGAAGGUUUUCGGAUCGUAAAGCUCUGUUGUAAGAGAAGAACGAGUGUGAGAGUGGAAAGUUCACACUGUGACGGUAUCUUACCAGAAAGAGACGGCUAACUACGUG
rnacentral:rRNA from 1 species